CCCGUACACAAAAGCGCAUGUGCUGUGAGCUCGAUGAGUAGGGCGGGACACGUGGUAUCCUGUCUGAAUAUGGGGGGACCAUCCUCCAAGGCUAAAUACUCCUGACUGACCGAUAGUGAACCAGUACCGUGAGGGAAAGGCGAAAAGAACCCCGGCGAGGGGAGUGAAAAAGAACCUGAAACCGUGUACGUACAAGCAGUGGGAGCACAGGUUUACCUGUGUGACUGCGUACCUUUUGUAUAAUGGGUCAGCGACUUAUAUUCUGUAGCAAGGUUAACCGAAUAGGGGAGCCGGAGGGAAACCGAGUCUUAAUUGGGCGUUAAGUUGCAGGGUAUAGACCCGAAACCCGGUGAUCUAGCCAUGGGCAGGUUGAAGGUUGGGUAACACUAACUGGAGGACCGAACCGACUAAUGUUGAAAAAUUAGC
rnacentral:rRNA from 1 species